AUUUGAUGCCAAAACUGUUACAGAGAACCAUUUUGAGAACACUUCAAAUGAUCAAUCUCUGGGUGGUUUUAGCUCAUCCCGAACGACUGAGCCGGUUUCCCAAAAUGAUGCUGUACAGCCUCCAGGUGAGGAUGGUCCACUGAAGGGUCAAGCACUAGCAGAUACGACCGAACAUUCGGUAGAGCCAUCUCCUCUGACCGAAACUAAA
rnacentral:misc_RNA from 1 species